UUUAUGAAGAAGGGGAGAGAGAACUGCUAAUGACUAAAGUAUCUGAACUGCGCGAUCAGGCCUUUCUUCAUUUUAGUCUCACAAUUUUGGUGUUCGCUUAAUAAUUUAUUCGGAGGAUGUUGUCAUAGGGCAUAAUUCAAACCAGUUGGAGACAAAUGCAAAACUUACCAGAAAUCAUUCAGUUUUGAUGGUCUGGAUGGCAAUAUGAGCUCCUUUAUGAUGCUUCCUUUAAAAUUUGGGGAGAGAUUUUAAGAUGUCAAUGAUGUGAUCUUGAUAUAGGAUG